UUACUUACCUGUGCAGCAGCUCACAGUGUAUAUCUCGUGGUCUGCUCACCGUGUAGUUCAGCUCACAGUGUAAAUCUUGAGAACCGCGGCCGUCAGAGUGUUGCCAAGGAGAUCUACACUGUAAGCUGCUGCACAGGUAAAAGC